UGCAGAAUCCCGUGAACCAUCGAGUCUUUGAACGCAAGUUGCGCCCGGAGCCUCAGCCGAGGGCACGCCUGCUUGGGCGUC
rnacentral:rRNA from 1 species